rnacentral:rRNA from 1 species
AUGAACGCUAGCUACAGGCUUAACACAUGCAAGUCGAGGGGCAGCAUGAACUUAGCUUGCUAAGUUUGAUGGCGACCGGCGCACGGGUGAGUAACACGUAUCCAACCUGCCGAUGACUCGGGGAUAGCCUUUCGAAAGAAAGAUUAAUACCCGAUGGCAUAGUUCUUCCGCAUGGUAGAACUAUUAAAGAAUUUCGGUCAUCGAUGGGGAUGCGUUCCAUUAGGUUGUUGGCGGGGUAACGGCCCACCAAGCCUUCGAUGGAUAGGGGUUCUGAGAGGAAGGUCCCCCACAUUGGAACUGAGACACGGUCCAAACUCCUACGGGAGGCAGCAGUGAGGAAUAUUGGUCAAUGGACGAGAGUCUGAACCAGCCAAGUAGCGUGAAGGAUGACUGCCCUAUGGGUUGUAAACUUCUUUUAUACGGGAAUAAAGUGAGGCACGUGUGCCUUUUUGUAUGUACCGUAUGAAUAAGGAUCGGCUAACUCCGUGCCAGCAGCCGCGGUAAUACGGAGGAUCCGAGCGUUAUCCGGAUUUAUUGGGUUUAAAGGGAGCGUAGGCGGACGCUUAAGUCAGUUGUGAAAGUUUGCGGCUCAACCGUAAAAUUGCAGUUGAUACUGGGUGUCUUGAGUACAGUAGAGGCAGGCGGAAUUCGUGGUGUAGCGGUGAAAUGCUUAGAUAUCACGAAGAACUCCGAUUGCGAAGGCAGCCUGCUGGACUGUAACUGACGCUGAUGCUCGAAAGUGUGGGUAUCAAACAGGAUUAGAUACCCUGGUAGUCCACACAGUAAACGAUGAAUACUCGCUGUUUGCGAUAUACAGUAAGCGGCCAAGCGAAAGCGUUAAGUAUUCCACCUGGGGAGUACGCCGGCAACGGUGAAACUCAAAGGAAUUGACGGGGGCCCGCACAAGCGGAGGAACAUGUGGUUUAAUUCGAUGAUACGCGAGGAACCUUACCCGGGCUUGAAUUGCAACUGAAUGAUGUGGAGACAUGUCAGCCGCAAGGCAGUUGUGAAGGUGCUGCAUGGUUGUCGUCAGCUCGUGUCGUGAGAUGUUGGGUUAAGUCCCGCAACGAGCGCAACCCUUAUCCUUUGUUGCCAGCGGUCCGGCCGGGAACUCAAAGGAGACUGCCAGUGAUAAACUGGAGGAAGGUGGGGAUGACGUCAAAUCAGCACGGCCCUUACGUCCGGGGCUACACACGUGUUACAAUGGGGGGUACAGAAGGCAGCUACACGGCGACGUGAUGCUAAUCCCUAAAGCCUCUCUCAGUUCGGAUUGGAGUCUGCAACCCGACUCCAUGAAGCUGGAUUCGCUAGUAAUCGCGCAUCAGCCACGGCGCGGUGAAUACGUUCCCGGGCCUUGUACACACCGCCCGUCAAGCCAUGAAAGCCGGGGGUACCUGAAGUGCGUAACCGCAAGGAGCGCCCUAGGGUAAAACUGGUGAUUGGGGCU